AGGGUGUAAACGCUGCAGACUUGGUGUUGGAGGCCCUUUGGGGGCAUUCAGUGCCGGAGAGAAGUUGUUAAGUCUGCUACUUGGGGAGUACGUCCGCAAGGAUGAAACUUAAAGGAAUUGGCGGGGGAGCACCGCAACGGGGGGAGCGUGCGGUUUAAUUGGAUUCAACACCGUAAACUCACCAGGGAAGACUGUUACAUGAAGGCCGAGAUGAAGACUCUGCUAGAUUUUCAGAGAGGUGGUGCAUGGCGUCAGUGACU
rnacentral:rRNA from 1 species